rnacentral:tRNA from 1 species
GGUGCGUUAGUUCAGUUGGUUAGAAUACAUGCCUGUCACGCAUGGGAUCACGGGUUCGAGUCCCGUACGCACCG